CUACUUCACCCUUAUAAGUUUGGAAACUGGAUCAUAACCUAUGUGUUACACCCUCAUGGGAUUCCAAGCCAAAUGAGUAGUAAUUAGUCCCAGUGAACAGU